rnacentral:rRNA from 1 species
GAAUAAGCUACUAAGAGCUAACGGCGGAUGCCUUGGCAUCGGAAGGCGAUGAAGGACGUGGAAAGCUGCGAUAAGCUUCGGGGAGUUGUUAACAUGCUUUGAUCCGGAGAUUUCCGAAUGGGGAAACCCAGCAGGAGUUAUAUCCUGUUAUCAUGUACUGAAUACAUAGGUACAUGAGGCGAACGUAGGGAACUGAAACAUCUAAGUACCUGCAGGAAUAGAAAUCAAUUGAGAUUCUGUGAGUAGCGGCGAGCGAAAGCGGAUCAGCCCAAACCAGGCGCAAGUCUGGGGUUGUAGGACCCCAAUGUGGGAUUAGUGAUGAUUAGUGGAAAGGUAUGGAAAGGCCUACCAUAGACGGUGAUAGUCCGGUACACGAAAAUCUGAUCUACCCUAGGGAGUUCCUGAGUACCACGAGACACGUGAAACCUUGUGGGAAUCUAGGAGGACCAUCUUCUAAGGCUAAAUACUAACCGAUGACCGAUAGUGAACAAGUACCGUGAGGGAAAGGUGAAAAGAACGGGGGAACCCGAGUGAAAUAGACACUGAAACCGUUAGCUUACAAGCAGUCGGAGCACUAUGUUUUUAACAGUGUGACGGCGUGCCUUUUGCAUAAUGAGUCAACGACUUACCGUGUGCAGCAAGGUUAAGCCGCGAGGUGGAGCCGUAGCGAAAGCGAGUCUUAAUAGGGCGAUAGUUGUAUGCGGUAGACCCGAAGCCGGGUGAUCUAUCCAUGGCCAGGGUGAAGGUCGAGUAACAUCGACUGGAGGCCCGAACCGAUAUAGGUUGAAAACUGUUCGGAUGAGUUGUGGAUAGGAGUGAAAGGCUAAUCAAACUCGGUGAUAGCUGGUUUUCUCCGAAAUAUAUUUAGGUAUAGCCUCGUAUGAUGACUGACGGAGGUAGAGCACUGACAAGGUUAGGGGUCCCACCGGAUUACCAACCCUUUUCAAACUCCGAAUGCCGUCAAGUUCAAGUACGGGAGUCAGACUGUGGGAGAUAAGUUCCAUGGUCGAAAGGGAAAGAACCCAGACCGUCAGCUAAGGUCCCUAAACUGUGCUAAGUGGAAAAGGAUGUGGAAUUGUGAAUACAACCAGGAGGUUGGCUUAGAAGCAGCAACCCUUUAAAGAAAGCGUAACAGCUCACUGGUCUAAUGAAUCUGCGCCGAAAAUUUAUCGGGGCUCAAGCACAGUACCGAAGCUACGGAUGUCAGAAACCAGAAUCCAGAGGACAGAAACCAGAUGAUUAAAUCAUUUGAAGAUCUUGAAGUUUUUCAGAGAGCAUAUAAACUCUCUUUGGAGAUUCAUACUAUUACAUUAGAAUUUCCAAAGCGUGAACAAUAUGGUCUAGCUGAUCAAAUUCGUAGAGCUAGCAAAUCCAUUUGUGCAAAUAUUGCAGAAGGAUUUGCCAAGCAACGUUAUUCAAGUCCAGAAUUCAAACGUUAUCUCAUGAUAGCGGUUGGAUCUUCAGAUGAGAUGAGAGUCUGGGUAAGAUAUUGUCUGGAUUUAGGUUACAUAAACAAAGAAGUGUGGAAGGCAUGGCGAGAUGAAUAUAAAGAAAUCUCAAAAAUGCUCUCUAAAUUGAGCGGAAGCUGGAAAUAGUUUUUUUUUCUGACUUCUGUCUUCUGGCUUCUGGUUUCUGAUAUGGUAGGAGAACAUUGUGGCCGCCUGAGAAGGUACACCGUAAGGAGUGCUGGAGGUUCCACAAGAGCUUAUGUUGACACGAGUAGCGAAAAACAAGGUGAGAAACCUUGUCGCCGAAAGCCUCAGGUUUCCUGUAGUCAAGUUAAUCUGCUCAGGGUUAGUCGGCUCCUAAGGCGAGGCCGAGAGGCGUAGUCGAUGGGAAACAGGUUAAUAUUCCUGUACCAUUUUUAUAAUGUUAUGGUAAGGGGGGACGGAGAAGGUAAGGCCAUCCGGGCGUUGGUUGUCCCGGUUUAAGCGUGUAGGUGGAGGACUUAGGUAAAUCCGGGUCUUCAUUAACACUGAGGCGUGAUGACGAAGUCCUAUGGACUACAAAGUGGCUGGUUCCAUGCUUCCAGGAAAAUCCUCGUAUCUAGUUAUAAAUGUGACCGUACCGUAAACCGACACAGGUAGGCAGGUAGAGAAUACCAAGGCGCUUGAGAGAACUCUGGUUAAGGAACUCGGCAAAAUAGCACCGUAACUUCGGGAGAAGGUGUGCCACUUUUAGUGAUUGAAUUUACUUCAUGAGCUGAUCGUGGUUGCAGUGAAAUGGGGGGAGCGACUGUUUACUAAAAACACAGGACUCUGCGAAGUCGAAAGACGAAGUAUAGGGUCUGACGCCUGCCCGGUGCCGGAAGGUUAAAAGGACGUGUCAGCUUCGGCGAAGCACUGAAUUGAAGCCCCGGUAAACGGCGGCCGUAACUAUAACGGUCCUAAGGUAGCGAAAUUCCUUGUCGGGUAAGUUCCGACCUGCACGAAUGGCGUAACGAUUUCCCCACUGUCUCAACCAGGGGCUCAGCGAAACUGUAGUACCGGUGAAGAUGCCGGUUACCCGCAACAAGACAGAAAGACCCCGUGAACCUUUACUAUAGCUUGGCAUUGGUUUUUGAGGUAACAUGUGUAGGAUAGGUGGGAGACUUUGAAGCGGGCACGCCAGUGUCUGUGGAGUUGUCCUUGAAAUACCACCCUUGUUAUCUUAGGAAUCUAACUGCGGUCCGUAAUCCGGAUCCAGGACAUUGUCUGGUGGGUAGUUUGACUGGGGCGGUCGCCUCCUAAAGAGUAACGGAGGCGCGCGAAGGUUCCCUCAGGCUGAUUGGAAACCAGCCGUAGAGUGCAAAGGCAUAAGGGAGCUUGACUGCGAGAGAGACAUUUCGAGCAGGUACGAAAGUAGGUCUUAGUGAUCCGGCGAUUCCGCAUGGAAGGGUCGUCGCUCAACGGAUAAAAGGUACUCCGGGGAUAACAGGCUUAUCUCCCCCAAGAGUCCAUAUCGACGGGGAGGUUUGGCACCUCGAUGUCGGCUCAUCACAUCCUGGGGCUGAAGCAGGUCCCAAGGGUUUGGCUGUUCGCCAAUUAAAGUGGUACGCGAGCUGGGUUUAAAACGUCGUGAGACAGUUUGGUCCUUAUCUGUUGCGGGCGCAGGAUAUUUGAGGAGAUCUUUUCCUAGUACGAGAGGACCGGAAUGGACGAACCUAUGGUGUUCCAGUUGUUUCGCCAGAAGCAUUGCUGGGUAGCUAAGUUCGGCAGGGAUAACCGCUGAAAGCAUCUAAGCGGGAAGCCCACUCCAAGAUAAGAUAUCCCGGGACAUUAGUCCCCUGAAGGCUCGUUGAAGACUACAACGUUGAUAGGUCAGGUGUGGAAGUGUGGUAACACAUGGAGCUAACUGAUACUAAUAAGCCGUGCGGCUUAUUCAU